rnacentral:rRNA from 1 species
GACGAACGCUGGCGGCGUGCUUAACACAUGCAAGUCGAACGGAAAGGCCCUGCUUGCAGGGUACUCGAGUGGCGAACGGGUGAGUAACACGUGGGUGAUCUGCCCUGCACUUCGGGAUGAGCCUGGGAAACUGGGUCUAAUACCGGAUAGGAGCCAUUUUUAGUGUGAUGGUUGGAAAGUUUUUUCGGUGUAGGAUGAGCUCGCGGCCUAUCAGCUUGUUGGUGGGGUAAUGGCCUACCAAGGCGGCGACGGGUAGCCGGCCUGAGAGGGUGGACGGCCACCUUGGGACUGAGAUACGGCCCAGACUCCUACGGGAGGCAGCAGUGGGGAAGAUUGCACAAUGGGCGCAAGCCUGAUGCAGCGACGCCGCGUGGGGGAUGACGGCCUUCGGGUUGUAAACUCCUUUCGCUAGGGACGAAGCUUUUUGUGACGGUACCUAGAUAAGAAGCACCGGCUAACUACGUG